UGCAAACAUUGACUGUGCCUUCUCAGAGAGA
rnacentral:piRNA from 1 species